rnacentral:lncRNA from 1 species
CUCCUUCAAUUCUCGUAGCUUUUGUAUAGCACAAUUAUUCCCUAUCACUAAACAAGCUUCACAAUACUUUGGUUUCCAUUCAAAAAUCACUAUUUGCUGAAAUGUCUUCCCUGAGGGAUCCAUCGUAAUUAUUUUAGAUGGCAGAGGUUUGGUGGCAUUAACUUCUAUAAGCAUUCCAGCAAAAGAGAUUCUAGUUUGCUUUGUCGUGCACUCAUCUGCAUAUUUAGGUACACGAAUAGCACUCGCUAUCCUUCUCAGUAAGUCCGACUGCAGCAGCUCAUGGGCAGGCUUGGGAGGUAGUUCUGUGAGGAACUCUUCAUUAAAAAUUUAAAAUCAAAUUCUAGAGUCCAUUCCUUUAAGAUCAAAGGUCUGUUGUUAAUAUUGCAAGGGCCCACAAAUAGAAUUUUAUUCAGAUCUGUACUUUGGAAAAUUUAAUAACAUAGUAGCCUUCCUCGUGAUAAUAGAUUUUAGGUUCCGCAAUAAUUUCCACUUUUUCUUCACAUAUUUCUUCAUAUAGUUAUAGCUAGGUGUUGCUCUUAUCACAUAUACUAUUAAUGCAGACUUCCAUUUAUCAAUUUCCUUGUCUGUUUUUUCUUUGUCAAGCUUUAUCGUUACAUUUCCUUCAACCAAUUCCGGAGGUAUAUAAUCAAGAGACAUACUAUUGGUUGCAGAUCGAUUGCGAGUGAAUAGUCCAGGCCAAGUGGGUCUUUCAUUGCCGAUGCAGAAUUCCUCAGUGCUGAUACCUUGGUCUUUGGAACAUUUAUGCUUGUGGCCCUUCAAUUCCUGUCAGUUAUGCCUUUGGAUCUCCACUGAGGUUUAAUUUCUUAAUCCCAAUGGUCAAUUUAGCUACCGACACCAAGGGUGAAAGUGACGGGGAUUGUGUCGCUGCUGGUGUUACAAUUCUCUGUUCAUUCCUAGCACUGACUGAGCUUCCCACUGUUACGAUUGCUUGUAUUUUCGAUCGACCUCGCCCUCUGGCCAUGGAUACCACCAUCAGCGUAGGUUAGCUUAACGUGCACCGAGAGACAUAUGCUAGAGAGAGGAUUGACAGUGUUCGUGUCCUGAAUUCCUAUUCAAAAAUAAGCAUAAAUUCAGGAACUUGGGCCAAAGCCUACACUCUUCUGGUGGGCUUUUGUAAAGGUGUUUACCUAGUAUUGCAUAUGUUUCCAUUUUACUCAAUGCUUCUUGUUUACACACCCUUUCGUGGAAU